UACGGAGGGGGCUAGCGUUGUUCGGAAUUACUGGGCGUAAAGCGCACGUAGGCGGACUGUUAAAUCGGGGGUGAAAUCCUGGGGCUCAACCUCAGAAUUGCCUCCGAUACUGGCAGUCUCGAGUGCGGGAGAGGUGAGUGGAAUUCCCAGUGAUAGCGGUGAAAUGCGUAGAUAUCGGGAGGAACACCUGUGGCGAAAGCGGCGC
rnacentral:rRNA from 1 species